CAAAAGCAGCUGCUACAGCCCAGAGUCCCACCUCAGGGAACAGUGCCCGAGCACAUGAUCCUGAACUGGAAGGGUUAUGUCCCUGGAGCCUGUGGGGGGCCAGGACCCAGAACAGGAUGGGGACUCCAACCCCAAUGGACACACCAUUCAACUGAGCACUACAGUGACGACCACAAGGGAGCUCAUAGGUCUUCAGAUCAAGAGAGGCUGAACCUAAGCAGUUGAACUUCAGUAACAACACCAACGAGAUUUGGAAAGAGAGUGAGUUGAGUGUAUUUUGCAUGCAAGAGGAUACUUUUUUUUUUCUAACCAAGCGGAAGCAUUUUAGAAAAAUAUCAAGUGGAGCUAAAACAUAAAAAGAAAAAGAAGAGGGUGAUGAGGAGAAAGAGAGGAUGGAAAAAGAAGGAAGAUGUGGCCGUCUCUGCAAGCUUUAUAAUAUCACAGAGGAACUCGAGAUAAAGCUCCAUGAAGACAAUGAGCAAACCAUACAUGAUCAACCCACAAUACAGACAUUCUAGAGACUCCAAUAAAUGGAUAACACAGCCUCUCUGUAAUUCUGAUUAUCUGGUUUCAAAGAGAACCUAAUCAACUUGUCAGCUGGUAGACUACAUUUUUUAAAUAACGGAUGAUUGAUAUUUUUAUCUAAUUCAGAAAACGUUUCGAAUACGUCAGCGAAAUUCUGUAAUACUUCAAACUUUCUCAAAGCCUACAUUUUAAAAAGUUGUCAAUAAUAGGUUUGAUGAUACACUUACUGCAUUCUGUUAACUAUGUGUUAAUUGUAUGAACUAAUAAAAAAAUUUCAUCUAUCUUAUUAGGAUAGGAAUUUCAAAUCAAACUGCAUAUUUUUAUUUGCUAAAUAU